GACGAACGCUGGCGGCGUGCUUAACACAUGCAAGUCGAACGGAAAGGCCCUGCUUGCAGGGUACUCGAGUGGCGAACGGGUGAGUAACACGUGGGUGAUCUGCCCUGCACUUCGGGAUAAGCCUGGGAAACUGGGUCUAAUACCGGAUAGGAGCCUUUUUUAGUGUGAUGGUUGGAAAGUUUUUUCGGUGUAGUAUGAGCUCGCGGCCUAUCAGCUUGUUUGAGGGGUAAUGGCCUACCAAGGCGGCGACGGGUGGCCGGCCUGAGAGGGUGGAGGGCAACAUUGGGACUGAGAUACGGACAAGACUCCUACGGGAGGCAGCAGUAGGGAAUAUUGCACAAGGGGCGCGAGCCUGAUGCAGAGACGCCGCGGGGGGGAUGACGGCCUUGGGGUUGUAAACUCAUUUCGCUAGGGACGAAGCUUUUUGUGACGGUACCUAGAUAAGAAGCACCGGCUAACUACGUG
rnacentral:rRNA from 1 species